GGAAGGGCCAUAGCUCAGCAGUAGAGAAUCUGCCUUGCAUGCGGAAGGUUGCAGGUUCAAUCCUUGGCAUUUCCG